rnacentral:lncRNA from 1 species
UGGUUCUCAAUCAGAGACAACGAUUGACAGCUGCCUCUGAUUGGGAACCAUACCAGGCCAAACACCUAUAAAUAUAACACACAGAACCAAAAUAUAGAAUGCCCACCCCAACUCACGCCCUGACCAAACUAAAAUAGAGACAUAAAAAGGUCAGGACGUGAAAGGGUAUGAGUUGUGUUGUAGAGUGUGGUUAGGGGGUGUUGCAAUGGUUCUGCUUUGCCCUGAGGGUGCAUUUCAAAACAUCCUACCUCAAUGGUAGAAGUUUCAAAGUUGACUAAUUAUGGCACAAGCUGUGAGGCUACACGGUAACGGAAAAGCAAAACUCUUGACAGAUUCACUCCUUCACAAAAGAGACAGGUAAGAGAUACUCACAAAAUAAAACAUAUUUUAUGUAUUGAAUACUGUAUACUUUUAUCAACAACUAAUUUGAGGGUUCAGUGUUUAUUUCCACGUCAUUUGGCAACCAUUCAUUUAUGAUUUCAGCAUUUGACAUAAAGUUAAUCAAGUAAGAACCGAUAUCUACGCUGGUUUUUAUCUUAUCCAUCAUUUAUUGGUGGCACAUUGUAUAGUAGUGAAUAAAAACUGAAACUAGUAUAUUUAAACGUCGGAGUCUUUGCUGUCUGCAAUUUGGUAAAUAAAACUUUGAACCUGGAACCAUCUAUCAAAUAUUGUAAGUUGAAAUGACUGUUCAGAGACCAAUCCUGUGUCUAGUCCUUUUAGAUUUAAAGGACUCACAAAAGAUGGAGACUUCACAGAGGUCUCCCGUUCUGUCAUCCUGUCUGAUCUCAAUAAUAGUUGUGCUGAAUAUCAUCUUGUGGAUGUUUCUAAUGUCAGCAGUGGGAUUAGGGGCUAUGCACCUACAUGACUGCCCCUUACAGCCUUAUAUCCCCAUCUACCUGCUGGUGAUCGGGCUGACGUCCAUCGCCUCCCUGCUCCUAGCCUACCUCAAUAACACACUGGAGACUGGCUUCCUGAGCCUACUGUGUUCCUCCUGCAUCUUCCUCCUCCAACUCUUCAACCUCGGCUGGUUCAUCACAGGGAGUGAGUGGGUGUACUCCAUAUAUCCCCCGAACUAUGACACGAAUGGUGGAGAGAAGUACUGUCAGAGGAAGAUAUACCUGUUUGCUUUCUGGUUCAACAGCCUGGGCAGCAUCUGUAUGGCUGUGGUGUUCUUCUGUGGAGUGUUCUUCAUCUUCCUUACCUGUGUGAAAAUGGCAUUUAGGGGACACCAUCUACUCCAUUCACAUAAGAGAUCGUAUGGUGUGGACGCUUGA